AAGGUAGUGUAGUUAAUAGCUGCAUUAUUUGACGUUUAGCGACAGAAGAAGCACCGGCUAACUCCGUGCCAGCAGCCGCGGUAAUACGGAGGGUGCGAGCGUUAAUCGGAAUUACUGGGCGUAAAGCGCAUGCAGGUGGUUUGUUAAGUUCAGAUGUGAAAGACCCGGGGCGUCAACCUCGGAAUAGCAUUUGUAAACUAGGCAGACUAGAGUACUGUAGAGGGGGGUAGGAAGUUUCAGGUGUAGCGGUGAAAUAGCGUAGAGAUCUGAAGGAAUACCGGUGGCGAAGGCGGCCCCCUCGGACAGAUACUGACACUCAGAUGCGAAAGCGUGGGGAGCAAACAGGAUUAGAUACCCUGGUAG
rnacentral:rRNA from 1 species